rnacentral:rRNA from 1 species
ACCCGCUGAAUUUAAGCAUAUAAGUAAGUGGUGGAAAUUAAACCAAAUGGGAUAUCUUUAGUAAUUGCGAAUGAACAAGGAUAUGCUUAGCUUGACAAAUGGAGCUAUUGGCUUUGAAUUGUAUUGUGGAAAUGUAUUACCAACAGAGGUGCAGGUGCCAGCCUAUUGAAAUAAAGCGUCAAUGAGGGUGAGAAUCCUGUUUGUCAUGUGCAGCCCUUUGUGCACGGUGUAUAUUUGCUGAGUCACACUCCUUGGCAUUGUAAUGCAAAGUGGGUGGUAAGUUUCAUGUAAAGGUAAACAUGCAAUUGAGACUGAUAGCACACAAGUACCAUGAGGGAAAUAUGAAAAGGACUUUGAAAAGAGAAUUAAAUGAGUUUGUAUUUGCUGAACACAAAGUAAACAGACUUGAUUUGCUUGGUGGGAGUGUUGCACUUGCUUGACAAGAGCUUUGGGCUGUGGGUGUAAUGAUUCUUUCUUUGCAUGCCAGUUUCUAUUUGUACAUCUGAUUACCUUUGCACAUGAAUGAUAAGUCUCCUGUGGGGGGUGGAUUGCAUGUGCAUGUAAUGAUUUGUGUUUUGAUAAAUGUGUCUGGUGUAUGUGUGUGUUCCUGUGCUUGGGGAUGCUUCCUUCCUUGGACUUACAAGCCCUGACACACACAUGCUGGCAAAAUGCUUCUGCUUGACCCGUCUUGAAACACGGACCAAGG